rnacentral:tRNA from 1 species
CCGAGUGUAGCUCAGUUGGUAGAGCGAUUAACUGUAGUGUUCUAUACUGUGUUUCAGUUUCUCGGAAAUCAAUUGGUCGCUGGUUCGAUUCCGGCCACUCGGA